rnacentral:rRNA from 1 species
GUGAAGCCGGAAUUGCUAGUAAUGGCAGGUCAGCAUACUGCCGUGAAUACGUUCCCGGGCCUUGUACACACCGCCCGUCACACCAUGAGAGUUGGGGAUACCCGAAGCCUGUGAGCUAACUUAUAGAGGCAGCAGUCGAAGGUAGAAUCAAUGAUUGGGGUGAAGUCGUAACAAGGUAUC